rnacentral:lncRNA from 1 species
AAGUGAAGAAAUAGAGGAAGACGAAAUUGACGAAAAAUGUAAAAUAGAAAUUCCUUAUUAUCACAUAAUGUCCAUACAUUUUAAAAGUAAAACAGUAUUUCUAAUGGAAUGCAAAGGGACAGUUGAUCAGACAAAUAUUUUUUGUCUUUGGGGGGAAGAUAUAAAAAAUAGCAUAAAUUACGAAACAAUUAAUAUGUUCUCUCUGUCAAUCGAAACCAAAAAUUACCCAAAAGAAAUUAGGAAAGAUUUAAACAAAUUUUUGAACACGUUAAACGUGCAAAUAAAACAAACUUUAAAUAAAAGCGUAAAAAAUCAUGAACAGGAAGUCACUAAUGACAAGCAACCUAAAAUAGUAAACACUGAGGCAUUAAGUGACUUUAUUGACAAAACUUUAAAUAGCGAAUUAAAAGAGCCUAUGUUUUCUGAUAAUGAACACAUUAUGGACAAUAACAUAAGGUAUCAAGGGGAAAAAACAAAAAACAAAAAAAGUAUACAUAUAUGCUUGUGCUAUGUGUAAGUAUAUAUUUAUGGCUGCUCAUGUAUGCAAAAUUUAUUGUAACACUUAAAAUGAAGAAAUAUAAUAAUUCAAAUCAUUACAUAUUAACAAAUGAAUUAAUAAUUUCUUUUUUUUUUUUUAAUCAUAAAAAAAAAAAAAAUAUUAUAAUAAAUUUAUUUAUGCUUUUUUUAGUGAUCGAAAA